UUCUAUAACAUUUUCCCUAUUCCAUCCCUCCUCCAGAAGCAAUUGUUUUCUAUUAUAGUUCUGUUUUGCUUUUGGUUUUUGGUUUCUCUUUUCAUUUUUUAAAGAUAAGCUGGUCAACAUGGUGAAACCCCGUCUCUAUUAAAAAUACAAAAAAUUAGCUGGGCACGGUGGCGCGUGCCUGUAAUCCCAGCUACUCAGGAGGCUGAGGCAGGAGAAUUGCCUGAACCCAGGAGGCGGAGGUUGCAGUGAGCCGAGGUCGCACCAUUGCGCUCCAGCCUGGGUAACAAGAGCGAAACUCCGUCUCUAAAAAAAAAAAAAAAAAAAAAAAAAAAAAAAAAAAAAAAAAAAAAAAAAAAAAAAAAAAAAAAAAAAAAAAAAAAAAAAAAAAAAAAAGAUAAGCCAAUAUAUUGUGGUAUAUUAAAAAUUAUCACAAAUUAUAUUAUUUGCAGUAACUCCCAUUGAAGGCGAUACAUUUGUAUCUUUACCCCUUUAAAUGAAGUUGACAUUGUGGGAUUUUUGAUCAUCAGAAUGCAGCAGAAGUAACAUUAUGAUAUUUCUAAGUCUUUGCCUCAGAAGACCUCACAGCUUCUGCUUUUAUUGGAACCUGAGACUACAAUGAAAAACCAUGUAGAGAGAGAUCCAGCUGUCCCACGUCUUCUAGCCAUUCCAGCUGGGGCUCAUCCAUGAACAUGGAUGAAUCUGGAGAACAUCAUUCUCAGCAAACUGACACAAGAACAGAAAAUGAAAUCCUGCAUAUUCUCACUCAUAGGCGGGUGAUGAAAAAUGAGAACACAUGGACACAGCUAAUAUAUUCACCCAGUAGCAUCCGGGCAUGGAAUUGUUGUUUGGGAAAACAACUGGGACUGUUUUCAUACUCUGAGAAGAUGUUUUGGAGCAGAUGCCCCUAACAUUCCCAGAAUCCUCAGAGAAGCAAGUCAAACUCUCUACCCCUUGUGUCGAUCAGGGAUCCAAGUAGCAUCAAUAUGAUCCAAGGUAAUUGAACCAGCAGUGAACUCUUUUUGCAAAUCUUCUGCGUUUAAUCUUAAUCUUACAUUUGUCUACUCUUUGAUUUUGUAAUAAUCUGUAGAAAUACAGUUAUGAUAGAAUAAUGAGUAGAGAGUGACAAUCCUGAAUCAUAGUCAAUUCAUUGUUUAACUGAAACAGUCACUGACUCCUACAACAUCAAUUUGGUUGAAAUAUCGGAGGAUUUAACUUGUUCCUGGGGGUUAUUGAAAUAGCCAAGUCAUGACCUCUCUGAGAGAAUUAUUUCUGUCAGUGUAAAAAUAGAUUCCAAUAAACUGAGCAGUGAUCUGCUUGCUUAUUUGGCC
rnacentral:lncRNA from 13 species